UCCUUUCGAGUCAAUUUGACAAAAGUGGCCGAGAGGUAUAUUGAGAACCAGAAUAAGACAGAAGAAGGUAAAAUUACCAGCUGGGGCCUCACAAGUGAAUAUGCCUACUGGAAGCAAAAAGGGAAACAGACUCAGUCAGAACCACCUGUUUCUGCUGUGGUGGAUUGGGUCAUAUACGGUGGUUGUAAUAAGGAUAUAUAUAGGGGACCAGCAAAGCAUAAUUGCAGUGGGUUUUUCUCGUGGUCCGCUCAUGACCGCAUAGUUUGCCCUUUCAGCCUUAAGCACAACACUACCCUUCCCAUCAAAUACCCAUUACCAAACUCGAAGAAUAUGUCGCUCGAUCUAAAUCGUCUACCUGAAGGGACUGUGGUUUACUACUUUGGCCAACCAAGAAGUGAGUUAGAAAAAAAAGUUUACUUCCCGAAGUGCAAUUUCGUUGCGAAGAUAACAUUCGAAGGAUACUUUGUGUACGAACUCAUAAAAUCUGGAAACAAACAAUGGGUUGCUCUCAAUAUCACUGCGCUGGAAAAUAGGGCCAACGGGCUUGUAGUAGAAAGUGGCAAGUUGAGAUACUAUGUGUGGGGUGUAUAUUUCGAGACUAUGUGGUGUUAUUAAUAAGGCAAUAAAUUUAAAUAUAGAAAAAGAUGUUUACGUUCUUUAGUAAC